GGCUGUUGUAAAGACCAUGGAAGCAC
rnacentral:misc_RNA from 1 species